UUUGCGAAUACAGACUAACACGGCUGUUACUCUGAAACCUGUAGGGUUAAGACAGCUGCAUUGGAGAGCUAUAGACAAUGAUUGAUUUAUCAAGACAACAGAAGGGGCAAGGUCUAAGAACUGCAGGCUGAGGAGAAAGGAGUUUUUAUGACGGUUGGUCUGUGACUGAAAAUGCAGCUGCAUCUUACAACCUACAGUCCCACUGAAAUCAUUGGGCUACAUUAUGGCUGUGUCGCGUUUAAAUUCUUCUUUGUAUUACUGCUCAGUUUUCUUCAUAUAAAAGUUAAUUUCUUGUU